AACCCUACCUAGUUAGUUAAUCUUGUAGGAAACCUAGUCACCUAGGAACUCCCUACAUCAGAAGGUCUCAAGAGAAAAUCCCUCUUAAGGAUUAAUGAGUCAAAAGAGUUGUGGAUACACGAUCAGAUUCAUGACAUGGGAACGAGAAUUGUCAACAAACAAAAUCUUUUGGAACCUGGUAAGCAAAGCAGGUUAUGGUCUCGUGACAUAAUCAUGGGGAUAUUACAGGGUCGUAAGGUAAGAGCUAAUUACAUGCAUCUAUUUCCUAUGCUCUUAUCUUGGUUAGCAUGUGAUCCUAAUAUUUCAAUAGAUACUGAAAUAAAGUGCAUAAAACCAAACACAAUUAGUAUGGAUUAUAUUGCCAAAGCCUUUAAAUUUUUAUGUCUAUUAAUUUUAUUUACUUGGUAUAAUUUUCUACUAUAGGGGAAUGAAAUUGUUGAAGGUAUCUUGCUUAGCUUCAGUUCAAAAGACAAUACUUGUCUACACACAAAUAGCUUUGAGAAGAUGUCCAAGCUAAGAUUACUACAAGUCGAUGGAGCAACCUUGAAGGGGAGCUGUCAAUGUCUUCCUUCUGGGUUAAAAUGGCUUAGAUGGCGGGAAUGCCCAUUGGACGAAAUACCUGCCGAAUUUUAUCAUGAAGAAUUAGUUGUUUCAACAAUUGGAGGUUCUUAAACUCAGUUGGUGUUCAUCUCUGUCUAAGUCUUCCAACUUCUCAGGAUUUCCUUGCUUAGAGAGGUUGUAUCUUGAUAAUUGCAGUUCUUUGGUUAAUUUACAUGAUUCCAUUGGCCAGAAUCAGGAGCUUGUUUACUUGAACUUGGAAAGAUGCUCUUCUCUUGAAGAACUCCCAAACAGUAUAUGUAGGUUGAGUUCUCUCCAAAAGUUAAUGGUCAGUCAUUGCAUCUCACUCAACAAGUUCCCUGAGUCCAUUGGUAACUUGCAAGAAUCUUUGGUGGAGUUUCUUUGACCAGAACAAAUAUUAAGGUACUUCCUGAUUGUGUUGGACUGUUAAAAAAACUAGAAGUAUUGAAUUUUUCACUUUGCCAUGAGCUUCUGAAUCUACCAAUGUCAAUGGAGAAUAUGACAUCUCUGUGUCGCAUUGAACUUAGUGGGCAUAACAAGCUUCGAUGCAUCCCAAAGCUGGCCUCUCCUCUAAUUCAACUUCAUAUUCAUUACCAAUUAUCAAAAUUCUUACCCAUAGGUUUUGAUGAGGUAGAUUUAGCUGAAACUCUUUCACUCCGACAUUUUAAUAUGUCAAUGUCUGCUGCUGCUGCAAUUUUGUUAUCACGAACCCUAAACUGAGGCUUUGACUGGCUAGAUACAACUGAAGACAGAGUUCUCUUUAGCAAGGUGCUGCUUCGAUGCAUACCAAAGCUGCGCUCUAUACGGCUUCGAUGCAGAUCAAUGCUACACUUUGUGAUCCUUCGAUGGAUAACAAACCUGCCAUCUACUACUUUAAUUCAAAUUGAAGGGUGUAUUCAUUAGAGUAACCUGUGGAAGUCCGCCCCAGAGUGAGAUAAAUUUUCACAAUCUAUUUCGUCCUCAGACUCAUAUUUUUUCGGUAAUAUUUGCCCUUGCACCAUUUGUGAGAAAGGAGAGGUGAAAGCGAAACUUAAUUCAUUAGAUGGAAAGAAAACUAAACGAUGUGGGACUAUACAUUGCAACUCCCGGCGUCUCAACAAAAAAAAGUAGCAACACCUCCUCCUUCGAGAGCAAAAGCAACCACACCAAGGCCAACACAUUCAACCAAAGAUGUCAGACACAACAAGGCUGGCUGUUACGGGAUAUUCUGGCCUCCUCCGUACCAUGAUAGCCCCUCAACAUAGAGACUGAGUGCAUCAACACUUCAACAGUGGAGUACUGGUACCAGGGUUGACUCCUCCGCCACCUCCCGAUCCAUACUUUAUCAAACGGCUUGAAUCUGGUAAGAUUUCACGCAAUUAUCCUUUACUUUAAAAGGGAUGUGAUCUCUGUUUGGAAAUUGCUUGGCUUGUGUUGUCAGGCAGUUGCUGCACAUGUGAUGCUCUUGUUCAAAUAUGCUUGAAUGGGAUCUGUCGCGAACGUGUGCGAGUCACUCGAUUGAGUUUCCAAAGGGGGCAUGCAAUCCCCUGUUUCAGCUUUGGGGCUAGGGACAAAGCACCUGAGGUGCACAACCAGAGGCUUGGUGGGGAUUUUCAUUUCGGUGUCUGCCCUUGUGGACUCCUGGUGGCUUUGAGUCGUAUGGGUCUCACAACCCUGCCACUCGUGGUUGCUUAGCUUGAGAUGGGUUCUUGUCUACUUUUCCUUCAAAUGGGUCAAAUUAGAGAGGGACAGAUUCGGAUCCUCACUCAUUUUUCUUUGGGAUGACUCAAGUUUCCAGCUUGCAGGAGAGGAGCCUUCCAAACCCUAGUGUUCAAAAAUGAUGAAAACAAAAUUAGAUUGGAGAAUCCAGUGCACUUCCUACACUGAUUCUAGUGCUUCGGUCCAAGGAUGCUGCUAUACAUUAUGAGGUGCUCCUGUUGUUGGUAGAGCUAAAGGGAGGCAGCUUUGCUACUUGGGAAAUUUGCUGCAGGGGAUUCAGAUUGCAAGGGGAAUAACAAUCAUCAUUUGCCCUUUUUUUCCUUGACCCUUCCUAAAUUGGAAGUAAGGCUUCUGCUUCUAUAUUUUAGUUUUUCAUUGCUAAAAGUGAGUUUAUUUCUGGCCAAUCUCUUGAUUUUAACCUUAUAAGGGCUGCUGUUAUUAUUUUGUAUCCUUCUAGUCCCCCUGCAGAAAAAAAAAAGUAGUUUCUUAAUAAAUCAGGUUCUUGCAGGUGUACGUUGUACAAAGAGAACCUGUCUGACCUUUGAUUAAGAUGCUUCAGUCUCCAGAUGUACAACUUAGUGAAAUUUCAGCUUUUGCAAUGGGGAGAUUGGCCCAGAUUAAUGUUUUUUUCAUUUCUUGGUUUGGUCUUGUUCAAAUCAGAUUGAUUAAAUUGAUGUUAGAAGACAUUUGUUUGGCAAUCAUGUUAGUGACUAAUCUAUCUUUUCUUUGUUUUUGGAAAUUGACUGGUGUACUUUUAUUCUUGGAUUACAUAACUCUGAUUUUUUGGGACAUGUAGCAGACAAAAUUUGUUGCAUUUUUUUUUUAAUUAUUUAAUUUAACAAAAGAAAUUUAAUUUCAAGAGCAGAAGGUGGGAGUGCUAAGGAUGCUGCUUGCACUUCUAGAAGCAUUGUUUGUUUGAAAUCUACUAAGCUUUUCCUGCAAACAUUAUUGGUCCUACUGGUGUUUGAUCUUAUCCUCUUUGGGAGUAUGUAGAAUAUGGUGCUUCAUGGGGGCAAAUAGGGGGAUGUAAACUGUCUUCAAGAUUGUAUCUCUUGGUUGAUUAUAUCAUAGUUUGGAUCAGUAUUACGAAUGAUCUAUCAGGGUUUUCACUAAUGGUUGUUGGCCAGUAGUCUCCCCCUCAGGAGUUUGGUCUUUAAGUCUCAUGUUUACACACAAUAAUGUUUGGUGAGGUUGAAGCUGGUUCUCUCAUGGUUACUAGAAAAUUUUCUAUUCUAUUAGUAUGUUCAGAAUUUAAUUUUUCUGAGAUUUUUUUUAUGCACAGAGGGAACAAUUCUUACCCAUGAAUGAUGUGAGAUUACAUUAUUAUGUGCUCUUUUUUUUCUCUUGACUGACUCAGGUUGGAUGUGAUCAUAGGAGAAGUAGCAAGGAAAGACAUGUAUAGUUUAGGUCAUGUCCCAAGUAUGACCUCGAAUAGAUCUCAUUUGAGGGCAAGAAUCCAUGUAGCCGACACCAUUUAGUUUCCAGCUGCAGGAGUUUGCAAGCUGAAGGAAUAUCUAAUUUGCAAGCGUAAAUAUUUUCCAUGAUUGCAAGAUUGUAGAAUGCAAUGCAUUUCCUACACUGAUUCUAAUGCUUCGGUCUGGGAUGCUGCUACAUGUUAUGAGGUGGUUGGUGUCAUUGGUAAUCUGGUACACUCCUGCACCAAUAUUAAGAAAGAAGUUCUUCUUGCUGGGGCUUGAGUGCUUGACAACCUGUCAUUGGACUACGGUAUUUCUAAUUUUUGGACAACUCUUAUCAUCUUUGUGUGUACUCAAUUUGGUUCAGCUAGACAUGGUCUAACUAUUGUUGCUGUAUAGCUGUUAUUACCAUAAGUUGCUAUGAGCAAUGAUUUCCUUCUUUCAGAGAUUCUAAGUUCUUAUGCUUGAUGACAGCUCCUGCUGUUCACAGAGCCAAAGCGAGGCAGCUUUGUUACUUGUGGAAAAUUUCCUGCAAGGGAUUUAGAUUGCAAGGUGAAUAGCAAUCAUCAUUUCCUUUUUUCCUUCAUUCUUCCUAAAUUGGAAAGGAGGAUUCUGCUUCUAUAUUUUAGUUUUUCAUUGCUAACAGCGAGUUUAUUUCUGGCCAGUCUCUUGCUUCUAACCUUCUAAGGGGUUACUGUUAUUAGUUUGUAUGGGGAAAAAAAAAAGGAGGCUUCUGUUAUUGAUAAUCAGGUUCUUGCAGUUGUACAUUGUACAGAGAUGCUAUCAGGCCUUUGAUUGAGAUGCUUGUCUCCAGAUGUACAACUUAGGGAACUGCAGCCAUUGCAAUGGGGAGAUUGGCCCAGAUUAAUGUUUUUUCAUUUCUUGGUUUGGUCUUGUUCAAAUCAGAUUGAUAAAAUUGAUGUUGGAAGACAUUAUUUUUUUGCAAUCAUAUUAGUGACUAACCUUUCUA